GGCUAGCAUGUGACCUGAAGCUGGUCUCUAAUUGGUUUCUUAAAGAUUCUCCUCCGGACGCACCUCGCUGCGUCCCUGGCAAAUCAGAAUUGGAGAUAUGUUAUUUUAUCCAAUCUGAUUGGUUCUCAACACCUGUCAUUCAACUCUUCCCCCGGCCGCUACUGGAGAGUGAACGUGGACACAAUAGUAGAGCCAGCAGGUAGCUCCUGUGUUGUUGAAAUGGUCUAACCACUUUGAUUAAAGUAGGAAACUAGCAACAAUAAACAAGGAGAGAUUCUUUAAAGGGUGAAAGAGAAGUUAUACAACGUCGUGGAGCUGCCGACCCCGUCCAAACGGCGUGUGAAUUGAAUAUUCCGGCUGUUUUUUUGGUGAGACUCUACUAGAGACAGAACUGUGCUGCUCAAGUCACUGUCGUCAUACUGCCUUCUGGGUUUCAUCUUCACCAUCUUCUUACCGCUCACUCGAUCUUUGCCAUCAUCAUCUCCACUACUCACAGGAUUUUCCCGUCGUUUCCCUACUCCAUUCUCUGAGGAGCCAGGAUGGACAGUUUUACCUGCUAAGGGUGGUGAACAGCAAGACUCGUGGGAUUCCACCAGCUCCUCAUCAUCAGACUCCUCGGAGAAAGGGAA